AUACUUACCUGGACGGGGUUAAAUGGGUGAUCAACAAGGCUCAUGACUUAGGUCUGGAAUCUCCAUUGCACUUGGGAGGGGUGCUUGCCUAAGGUCCACCCAAGUGGUGAAGCCUGUGUCAUAAUUUUUGGAAGUGGGGGCUUGCGUUCGCGUGGCCCCUCA